rnacentral:rRNA from 1 species
CCUACGGGUGGCAGCAGUAGGGAAUUUUCGUCAAUGGGGGGAACCCUGACCGAGCAACGCCGCGUGAAGGAAGAAGGAAUUCGUUCUGUAAACUUCUGUUAUAAAGGAGGAAAAACGGAUGGAGGAAAUGACAUCCGAGUGACGGUACUUUAUGAGAAAGCCACGCCUAACUACGUGACAGCAGCCGCGGUAAUACGUAGGUGGCAAGCGUUAUCCGGAAUUAUUGGGCGUAAAGAGGGAGCAGGCGGCAGCAAAGGUCUGUGGUGAAAGACUGAAGCUCAACUUCAGUAAGCCAUCGAAACUGGGGAGCUAGAGUGCAGGGGAGGCAUGCGGAAUGCGAGGUGUAGCGGUGAAAUGCGUAGAUAUCUGGCGGAACCCCAGUGGCGAAGGCGACGAUCCGGCCCGCAACUGACGCUGAGGCACGAAAGCGUGGGGAGCAAAUAGGAUUAGAUACCCCUGUAGUC